rnacentral:lncRNA from 1 species
AAUACUUUAUAUAUAAUAAAAAAAAACUCUAUUUAAUUAUUUUCGCUUGUAAUGUUAUACUAAUGAAGUUACUCGCGCAUUGCGGCGGAAUGAUACUAUAGAAUAUAAAAUAUAAAUAAAAUAAAAAUUUUAAAUUUUUUGAUUUGAUAUGGAACUUAAAUAAACAUAAAUAUAAAAUAUAAAAUAGAUAUAGGUAUAGAUAUAACAAAAUUUAUAAUUUUGGUAAAUAAAUCACACGUAAUAAUAAUAAAAUAAGUAAUAAAAUUUUUUUUACCCCACACACAUCUUCAUUGCACUAUUGACAUCGGAGAGGCAAAUUUCGAUCUUUAUAUCGCCUUCGCCGCUAGUGUCGAACUCCUCUUUAGUCACGACCAUAUCAAUCUCGUAUCCACAUCCUCUGCUUCUUCUCUCUCACUGACUCCAAAUCCAGCGCUCCGCCGCGAUCCUCGAAAUCCUAAUUUCAAUCCACACACAACAAAAAAUUUAAAAAAGUUAUAAAACAUGAGCCCUUUUUGUGCGCUAAGAAAAAAAAGAAAAAAAAUAAUAUGAAAAAAAAAUAUGAAGAAAUGGAAAUGAAAUCAUGUAAACAUAUUAAUUGAGAGAUAUGGGAGAGAAAAAAAAAACAAUAUGAAAAAAAAGGAGAAAUGGAGAUGAAACCAUGUAAACAUAUUAAUUGAGAGAUAGGGGGGUUAGGAAGAUGAAGCAUUGGGUGGGGGGUUAGAAAGAUGAAGAAUUGGAUGGAGAUGAUAUUAUGUAAGCACAUUAAUUGAGAGAUGGGAGUUUAGGAAGAUGAAACGUUGGAUGAAAAAGUUAGAUGAGAGAAGAGAAAAAGUGAAGGAGAAUUCGCCACGUGGCAAAAAAAUUAGGAGAAAUAAUGUAUAGGUAUAGAUUGUGGGUAUCGUAAUAACUGUGCUUUGCCCAGUCAUGUUAGAUGGAUCUUAAUAAUAACUGGACUAUGGGCUCCAAAACUUUAAAAUAAGAAAACUUCAAAUAUCACCCCUAUAGUUUUGUACUUUUUUAUUUUAGUAUCAUACGGUUUAAAGUAUGUCAAUUUAGUAUCCGGUGGUUUCGCAUUUUCUCACUUUAGUAUUCUAUAAUUUAAAGUGUAUCAAUUUAGUGCUCUGUGGUUAUAAAAAAUUUUAGAUAACCUAUCUAGGUUUAUCGAAUAUUCACUUUAGCAUAUCCUUUAGUUUUAACUUUGUCACUAUUUUUUUUUCUCCGUUAAUAUUUUGUUAAAUUAUAUACAAAAAAACUUCAUAUAAACUAUCUAGGUUUAUCGAAUAUUCACUUUAGUACUAUUUAAUUUUAACUUUGUCACUGAUUUAACGAAAAAAAAUUAGUGAAAUAGAUAAUAAAAAUAGAAAAAUAAAACCAUAGAGUGCUAACUUGAUAUACUUUAAACCACAGGGUACUAAAAUGAGAAAUUGUGAAACCACAGGGCUAACUUAAUACACUUUAAACCGUAGGGUACUAAAAUGAGAAAGUAUGAAACCACAUAGGGGUAUUUGAAGUUUACCCUUAAAAUAAUCAUAAUUUUUGCUAUAAAAUAAUCGAUCAAU